UACGUAGGCAGCAAGCGUUGUUCGGAAUUACUGGGCGUAAAGAGUGUGUAGGCGGUGCUCUAAGUUCGGUGUGAAAUCUCCCGGCUCAACUGGGAGGGUGCGCCCGGAAACUGGAAUGCUUGAGCGUGGGAGAGGAAAGCGGAAUUCCUAGUGUAGCGGUGAAAUGCGUAGAUAUCAGGAGGAACACCUGCGGUGUAGACGGCUUUCUGGACCGUAACUGACGCUGAGACACGAAAAGCGUGGGUAGCAACAGG
rnacentral:rRNA from 1 species